GGUUGCGAUCAUACCAGCACUAAUGCACCGGAUCCCAUCAGAACUCCGCAGUUAAGCGUGCUUGGGCGAGAGUAGUACUAGGAUGGGUGACCCCCUGGGAAGUCCUCGUGUUUCCACCC
rnacentral:rRNA from 1 species